CACCCGUCCUCAGUCAGCAGGGAGUCACCGACCCUCAGCUCCACCCUGCAGACCAGCACCUACUGCGCCGGUCCAACUAACUAAAAGGCCCAGACCAGUGAUCCAGGCCCCUCCUCAGGCUCCAGGGGCAACACGUGAAAAGAUCUGCCAGCACUGUGGCAGGGAUCAUGGGGACCGACCAUGCUACUGCCUCAACAAAACCUGUUGCAUAUGUGGUAGUGCCCAGCACUAUGCGAGAGAGUGUCCGAGGAACCAGAACCAAGAAAGACCUCCUUUUCAGGGCAGGGUUUACAACCUCACCCAGCAGGAUGCCGACGCUGACCCGGACGUGGUACAGGGUAUGUACACUAUCUGUGACCAUAUAGCUCAUGUUUUAUUUGACACUAGUGCAUCGCAUUCAUUUGUUUCACAUGUUUUUGCAUCCAAACUUAAUGUAUCAC
rnacentral:lncRNA from 1 species